UACGUAGGUGGCAAGCGUUGUCCGGAUUUACUGGGCGUAAAGGGCGUGCAGGCGGUUUGUUAAGUGCAGAGUGAAAGCUCCCGGCUCAACUGGGAGAGGUCUUUGCAUACUGGCAAACUCGAGGGAGGCAGAGGAAAGUGGAAUUCCCGGUGUAGUGGUGAUAUGCGUAGAUAUCAGGAGGAACACCGGUGGCGAAGGCGGGUCUCUGGGCCGAUACUGACGCUGAGGAGCGAAAGCGUGGGGAGCGAACAGG
rnacentral:rRNA from 1 species